CCCUUAGAUGUUCUGGGCCGCACGCGCGCUACACUGACGAAGUCAGCGAGCAUGUCCUACGCCGACAGGUGCGGGGAAUCUUGUCAAACUUCGUCGUGAUGGGGAUUGAUUAUUGAAAUUCUUGAUCAUCAACGAGGAAUUCCUAGUAAGCGCAAGUCAGCAGCUUGCGUUGAUUACGUCCCUGCCCUUUGUACACACCGCCCGUCGCUACUACCGAUUGAAUGGUCCGGUGAGGCUUUGGGAUCUGAGCGGAAAGAGCGUUUCGCUGUUUCUGCUCGGAAAACUCAGUCGAACCUUAUCAUUUAGAGGAAGGAGAAGUCGUAACA
rnacentral:rRNA from 1 species